rnacentral:rRNA from 1 species
UGAAUACGAGAUGCUACGGCGUCGAAGCAGUCUAUGUCAUACUUCCAAGAAAAGCUUGCACUGUCAUAAACAAAUAAUGCCUGUACCAUAACCGACACAGGUGGGUAGGUAGAGUAUACUAAGGGGCGCGAGAUAACUCUCUCUAAGGAACUCGGCAAAAUGACUCCGUAACUUCGGGAGAAGGAGUGCCUUAUUUAUAAGGUUGCAAUAACAAGAUCCAAGCAACUGUUUACCAAAAACACAGGUCUCCGCUAAGUCGUAAGACGAUGUAUGGGGGCUGACGCCUGCCCAGUGCCAGAUGUUAAAGAAGUUGGUUAGCAUCCGCGAAGCUGAUAACUGAAGCCCUGGUGAACGGCGGCCGUAACAAUAACGGUCCUAAGGUAGCGAAAUUCCUUGUCGGGUAAGUUCCGACCCGCACGAAAGUCGUAAUGAUUUGGAUACUGUCUCGGAGAGGGGCUCGGUGAAAUAGACUUGACUGUGAAGAUGCGGACUACCUGCACCAGGACAGAAAGACCCUAUGAAGCUUUACUGUAACCUGAAAUUGAAAUUGGACUUUACUUGCGCAGUAUAGGUGGGAGGCGUUGAGAAUAUUCUUGCGGGAUUAUUGGAGCCAUCAGUGAGAUACCACUCUUGUAAUGUUAGAUUUCUAACUUUGUAUCAUUAUCUGGUCAAAGAACAGUUUCAGGCGGGCAGUUUGACUGGGGCGGUCGCCUCCUAAACGGUACGGAGGCGCACAAAGGUUUCCUCUGAACGGGUAGAAAUCGUAUCUAGAGUGUAAAGGCAUAAGGAAGCUUGACUGUGAGACCUACAAGUCGAGCAGGGACGAAAGUCGGUCUUAGUGAUCUGACGGUGCUGAGUGGAAAGGCCGUCACUCAACGGAUAAAAGUUACUCUAAGGAUAACAGGCUGAUCUCCCCCAAGAGUUCACAUCGACGGGGAGGUUUGGCACCUCGAUGUCGGCUCAUCGCAUCCUGGGGCGGUAGUACGUCCCAAGGGUUGGGCUGUUCGCCCAUGAAAGCGGUACGCGAGCUGGGUUCAGAACGUCGUGAGACAGUUCGGUCCAUAUCCGGUGUAGGCGUUAGAAUAUUGAGAGGAGCCUUCUUUAGUACGAGAGGACCGAGAAGGACAUACCUCUGGUGUACCAGUUAUCGUGCCAACGGUAAACGCUGGGUAGCUAUGUGUGGAGUGGAUAACCGCUGAAAGCAUCUAAGUGGGAAGCCCACCUCAAGAUAAGUAUUC